GGGGAGAGUCGAGACAGGUGGUGCAUGGUUGUCGUCAGCUCGUGUCGUGAGAUGUUGGGUUAAGUCCCGCAACGAGCGCAACCCUUAUUGUUAGUUGCUACGCAAGAGCACUCUAGCAAGACUGCCGUUGACAAAACGGAGGAAGGUGGGGAUGACGUCAAAUCAUCAUGCCCUUUAUGACCUGGGCUACACACGUACUACAAUGGCGGCGAACAGAGGGGAGCAAAGAGGUGACUCAGAGCAAAUCCCAAAAAGCCGUCUCAGUUCAGAUUGCAGGCUGCAACUCGCCUGCAUGAAGACGGAAUUGCUAGUAAUCGCGAAUCAGCAUGUCGCGGUGAAUACGUUCCCGGGCCUUGUACACACCGCCCGUCAAACCAUGAGAGUUGGGAAUACCCGAAGUCUGUAAUCUAACCGCAAGGAGGAUGCAGCCGAAGGUAGGCUCAAUGAUUGGGGUUAAGUCGUAACAAGGUAGCCGUAUCGGAAGGUGCGGCUGGAUCACCUC
rnacentral:rRNA from 1 species